rnacentral:rRNA from 1 species
UACGGAGGGGGCUAGCGUUGUUCGGAAUUACUGGGCGUAAAGCGCACGUAGGCGGACUGUUAAGUCGGGGGUGAAAUCCUGGGGCUCAACCUCAGAAUUGCCUUCGAUACUGGCAGUCUUGAGUACGGGAGAGGUGAGUGGAAUUCCCAGUGUAGAGGUGAAAUUCGUAGAUAUUGGGAAGAACACCAGUGGCGAAGGCGGCUCACUGGCCCGUAACUGACGCUGAGGUGCGAAAGCGUGGGGAG